rnacentral:misc_RNA from 1 species
UUCUUCGUUUCUCUUUCUUCAGAUGAUGAUCCCAAGCCUUCUGGCGAUCUAGACAAAACAAGUCCACCGUGGGCUUGAAACACGCUUUCCGGGAUAAACCGGAAAAACUUUCCCAGGCAUCCUCUUAUAAAACGUUUCGGUUUAUCAAGGAGGGCUUGACCAAACUGACUCA